GCACAUUCUGGGGCCGGGAGCACGUGAGCUUUCGGAAGAGAGAGAGAGCUUCGUUUUCCAGGAGCUUCUCAGAUAACACCAGUCUGCGAUCCCUACUGGUUGUACCUGCGCCAGAAUCUGGAAACAGCACUGGACUGGGACUCAGGAGACCUGGGUGAAUUCACAGCUCUGCCCCUGCCUGCUGGGUGACCUUAGGCAUCAUUUCCCAGAGAGGCUGGAACAAGAGGAGUUUCACCACAUGUGGAAGCAGAAAUCUGGUGAUGCUGACAAGGGCUCGGGCUAGCGAGGACAAGGGCUAGGCAUGUCCUCACUCUCGACUCAACUCAGCUGAUGCAUCACACGCUGACCUAUAGCAUCCCCAUCUGUUCCAUUCCUGAGACCCCACCCAGCUCUGCCAAUGCACGAUCUCAUUCCCGAACUUCAGCCCUCCCUCCGCUCUACCCAUCCUAGACAUGCUCAUGCAUCUCUGCAGAGCCGGCAAUUCCAGUGCUCUGCAAUAAAGAUUCCUACGGUACAGUCAGAACAAAAUGGUACUUUAUAUCCUGAGGCCCAAUCUAGGAUAACCAGACUUGUGCCAUUUGUAGCUGGAGCAGAUCUGGGCUCGUAUCUCAGGAAGAAAAAGCACCAGUAACUUAUAAACUCUGUGGGCCAGGGGUUAUUUUCUAUUUGUACAGCCCCUGGCACAAAGCGGCCCCGAUCCUGAGUGGGGCCUCUGGGUGUCAUUGCAAUAUAAAUAAUGAUGAUGAUACUAAAUACCCCCUGUUGUUGUUAUAUAUUAUUAACAUCAUCAUUGCAGCUAGAGGUCGCAAAUGAGAACAAAGCUUCAUUGUACUAGGUGCUGUAAAAACACAGUGAGAGACAGUCCCUGCUUCAAGGCAU